AACGAACGCUGGCGGCAUGCCUAACACAUGCAAGUCGAACGAGACCUUCGGGUCUAGUGGCGCACGGGUGCGUAACGCGUGGGAACCUGCCCUUAGGUUCGGAAUAACUCCCCGAAAGGGGUGCUAAUACCGGAUAAUGUCUUCGGACCAAAGAUUUAUCGCCUUUGGAUGGGCCCGCGUUGGAUUAGCUAGUUGGUAGGGUAAAAGCCUACCAAGGCGAUGAUCCAUAGCUGGUCUGAGAGGAUGAUCAGCCACACUGGGACUGAGACACGGCCCAGACUCCUACGGGAGGCAGCAGUGGGGAAUAUUGGACAAUGGGCGAAAGCCUGAUCCAGCAAUGCCGCGUGAGUGAUGAAGGCCUUAGGGUUGUAAAGCUCUUUUACCCGGGAUGAUAAUGACAGUACCGGGAGAAUAAGCUCCGGCUAACUCCGU
rnacentral:rRNA from 1 species